GGACUACCAGGGUUUCUAAUCCUGUUUGCUCCCCUAGCUUUCGUGCCUCAGUGUCAGAUGUUGUCCAGGGACCCGCCUUCGCCACUGGUGUUCCACUUGAUAUCUACGCAUUUCACUGCUACACCAAGUAUUCCGGUCCCCCCUCCAAAUCUCGAGCAGGAUAGUAUUCAAUGCAGUUUCCGGGUUAAGCCCGGAGAUUUCACAUCAAACUUACCCUGCCACCUACGCACCCUUUACGCCCAGUGAAUCCGAACAACGCUUGGGACCUCUGUAUUACCGCGGCGGCUGGCAC
rnacentral:rRNA from 2 species